AACGAACGCUGGCGGCAUGCCUAACACAUGCAAGUCGAACGAGACCUUCGGUCUAGUGGCGCACGGGUGCGUAACGCGUGGGAAUCUGCCCUUGGGUUCGGAAUAACAGUUAGAAAUGACUGCUAAUACCGGAUAAUGUCUUCGGACCAAAGAUUUAUCGCCCAGGGAUGAGCCCGCGUAGGAUUAGCUAGUUGGUGAGGUAAAGGCUCACCAAGGCGACGAUCCUUAGCUGGUCUGAGAGGAUGAUCAGCCACACUGGGACUGAGACACGGCCCAGACUCCUACGGGAGGCAGCAGUGGGGAAUAUUGGACAAUGGGCGAAAAGCCUGAUCCAGCAAUGCCGCGUGAGUGAUGAAGGCCUUAGGGUUGUAAAGACUCUUUUACCCGGGUAUGAUAAUGACAGUACCGGGAGAAUAAGCCCCGGCCUAACUCCGUGCCAGCAG
rnacentral:rRNA from 1 species